UACGGAGGGUGCGAGCGUUAAUCGGAAUUACUGGGCGUAAAGCGCACGUAGGCGGUCAGGCAAGUCGGGUGUGAAAGCCCUGGGCUCAACCUGGGAAUUGCAUUCGAAACUAUCUGACUCGAGUAUGGGAGAGGGAAGCGGAAUUUCCGGUGUAGCGGUGAAAUGCGUAGAUAUCGGUAGGAACACCAGUGGCGAAGGCGGCUUCCUGGACUAAUACUGACGCUGAGGUGCGAAAGCGUGGGGAGCAAACAGG
rnacentral:rRNA from 1 species